AUGAACGACUUGGGACCACGUCCUCAAACGGGGGUCCCCAUCCCUGCCCACCCCAGCGUGGCCAAGGGUGACAGCCCGGGCCCCACCUUCCCAGGUGGCCCACGUCCACCCACCCUGAGUCACGGCCACGGCUGGGCCCCCUUGCAGGGCAUCCUGCACCCGUGGGACCCACUCCAGGGGCAGCACCAGGGCCACCACAGAGCUCCCAUCUCACGCCAGCUGCAACAGCAUGCGGCCGUGCCCUGGGGCGGGGGCCUGCCUGGGGCCUGGAGAGCACCCCCCCCCAGCUGUGUGUCCCAGGGACAGGAGCCCCCGGCUGGAGAACACCCUGUGUCCUCAGGGUGUCCCGGAACAAGUGGGCACUGGAGCAGGUGCCAGGACCUCCCGACGCCCGCCGCUGGCUUGACGGACAGCCCAGCCAGGCCAGAGGGAAACUCCACUUCCAUAGCAACUGAAAACGUGUCCAUCGCCUCUCCUGUGUUAUUUAAGAGAACACCAGGGGUCAGUCCUGGGGCCCACUCCCAGCUUCAUCGUGCACCUGCACGGCCUUGGGUGCACCUGGCCAAGAACAUCAGGUGUGCGAGCAGCCGCUGGGCCCGGGGCCCAGUGAAGCUGCCCACGGCUAGGGAACAGGGCUGCCGACUCAACUGCGGGGCCUCUGAGAGGUGGGGGGUCUUGAGGGCUUCCCCGCCCCGCGGUGCGGAGGGGGCGAGCGUGCGGGGAGCAUCCCGGCGCCGGGCCCGCAGGCAAGGCGCACCGGACAGCAGGGGGCGCUCAGGCCGCCCGGGGCGGACAGCCACGCACCGCCCGCCCGCCCGCAGCCCCGCCCCGCCUCGCAGCGCGCGCCGGAGCCGGGAGGGGGCGCGGCGCGGGACUCAAGCGCGUUAUAAGGCGCGGACCCGCGGAUCCCGGGAAGCCGCGCUCCGAGAAGCCGCCCGCAUGGCUCCCGCCCGCCGCCCCGCCGGGGCCUGCUUGUUGCUCGUCUGCGCGGGGCUGCUGGGCCGCCGCUCGCACGCAGCCGCCGCCACGUGUAUAUUUAAAAAUUUCUUUUGUAUUUAUUAA
rnacentral:lncRNA from 1 species